GACGAACGCUGGCGGCGUGGAUUAGGCAUGCAAGUCGAGCGACGGCCCUUCGGGGUACGGAGCGGCGAACGGGUGAGUAACACGUGAUCAACCUGUCCCCACAUUCCGGAUAAUUGGCCGAAAGGCCUUGUAAUACGGGCGAGGAUCCACUUAAGGCAUCUUAGGUGGAGGGAACACGCAAGUGGUGCGGGGAGGGGAUCGCGUCCUAUCAGCUAGUUGGCGGGGUAACGGCCCACCAAGGCGACGACGGGUAGCUGGUCUGAGAGGAUGGUCAGCCACAUUGGAACUGAGACACUGUCCAGACUCCUACGGGAGGCUGCAGUCGAGAAUCUUGCACAAUGCGCGAAAGCGUGAUGCAGCGACGCCGCGUGGAGGAAGAAGGCCCUUGGGUCGUAAACUCCUUUUACUCGGGAAGAUAAUGACGGUACCGGGUGAAUAAGCCACGGCUAACUACGUGCCAGCAGCCGCGGUAAUACGUAGGUGGCAAGCGUUGUCCGGAUUUACUGGGCGUAAAGGGUGCGCAGGCGGGCCUUUAAGUAGGAAGUGAAAGGUCGGAGCUCAACUCCGACACUGCUCCCUAUACUGGAGGCCUUGAGUCCCGGAGAGGAAAGCGGAACGGUGCGUGUAGCGGUGAAAUGCGUUGAUAUGCACCGGAACACCAAUGGCGAAAGCAGCUUUCUGGACGGGUACUGACGCUCAGGCACGAAAGCCAAGGUAGCAAACAGGAUUAGAUACCCUGGUAGUCUUGGCCAUAAACGAUGAUCACUAGGUGUCGGGGUUCUCCUCGGUGCCGCAGCUAACGCAUUAAGUGAUCCGCCUGGGGACUACGGCCGCAAGGUUGAAACUCAAAGGAAUUGGCGGGGGCCCGCACAAGCGGUGGAGCAUGUGGCUUAAUUCGAUGCAACGCGAAGAACCUUACCCAGGCUUGACAUGCACCUGCAAGCUCCCGAAACGGAGUCGCCCUCGAGGGUGGUGCACAGGUGGUGCAUGGCUGUCGUCAGCUCGUGUUGUGAAAUGUUGGGUUAAGUCCCGCAACGAGCGCAACCCUCACGGUCUGUUACCAGCGGAUAAUGCCGGGGACUCGGACUGAACUGCCUCUGUAAAGAGGAGGAAGGUGGGGAUGACGUCAAGUCAUCAUGCCCCUUACGCCUGGGGCUGCACACAUGCUACAAUGGCUGGUACAAAGGGUUGCUAACCUGCAAAGGGGUGCUAAUCUCAAAAAGCCAGUCUCAGUUCGGAUUGGGGUCUGCAACUCGACCCCAUGAAGCUGGAAUCGCUAGUAAACGCCGGUCAGCCAUACGGCGUUGAAUACGUUCCCGGGCCUUGCACACACCGCCCGUCACGUGACGAAAGUUGGUUUUACCCGAAGUCAGUGAGCUAACCGCAAGGGAGCAGCUGCCGAAGGUAGUGCCGAUGAUUGG
rnacentral:rRNA from 1 species